CCUACGGGUGGCUGCAGUCGAGAAUCAUUCACAAUGGGGGAAACCCUGAUGGUGCGACGCCGCGUGGGGGAAUGAAGGUCUUCGGAUGGUAAACUCUUGUAAUGUGGGAGCAAAUGAAAAAGAUAGUACCACAAGAGGAAGAGACGGCUAACUCUGUGCCAGCAGCCGCGGUAAUACGGAGGACUCAAGCGUUGUUCGGAAUUACUGGGCGUAAAGCGUGCGUAGGAGGUUUCGUAAGUUAUGUGUGAAAGGCGCGGGCUCAACCCCGGGACUGCACCUGAUACUGCGAGACUAGAGUACGGGAGGGGCAGGCGGAAUUCUUGGUGUAGCGGUGAAAUGCGUAGAUAUCGAGAGGAACACUCGUGGCGAAGGCGGGUUCCUGGACUUUAACUGACGCUGAGGCACGAAGGCGAGGGGAGCGAAAGGGAUUAGAUACCCGAGUAGUC
rnacentral:rRNA from 1 species